UUAUACUGAGGGGUCGAACCCUGGGUCUUGUGAUUGCGAAGCGAACUUCGUUAACCAUUCAGCUCUGCUAGUUCUCUUUCAACUGGAGUUUAUCCCCUGGCCAACCCUAAAUUAUUAGACAUUUUGGUCGUGCCCAUCCCACUUUAUUGUAAAUCCAAUACUGCACUGUUCAGUGUGACUUUUUAAAAAAUCUUGGCUGCUAUUUCUAACAGUUCGCUUGAAGAUAUCUGUUGACCGAAAUUGUACGAGGUCUGUGUUUGCUCCUUGCAUCUUGUUUUCAGUCCCUCCAAAGACCCAACUAAGCUAACUUGGAACUCUCGUCUUUAACUUCAGUUGAACCGUUCCCAGUCCUAAGACUGCACUAGUCGUGCAGACCUAAUCAAAGGAGUUUAUUUUUAACCAGACGUAAUGUAACCCUAUACUUUAUAGAAACAUUUAUUUCUACGUGGGGGAAAUUUGGUUUCCAUUGAAGAGACUUGGUCGUUGACACGAGCCACAUAAGUUUACGCAGUGAACCAUUUCAAGCGAGGCAAUUAGUGUUAUCCUCGUUGGUGAGGGGUCACUGUACCAUCCUUCCUUUAUCUGCUUGGCAACUAAAUUCUGACCCCACGUUGUUGGCUUGUCACCAGUAACCGAUUUUCCUGUUGAAGCCUACAGUAAAAUUACCUUGAUGGGGAGGGGUUAAACCAAUUUCUUAAAACCCUUUCUUGAAUUUUCAUGGUGUAGUUUGCCGUAGCUAUUCAAAGUAAACACCAGUUAAUUAUCGCCUGUAGUGGUCUUUGAAAAGAAAAAUGUUUGACUGUCCUAAGGUUUUUUUUUUUUUUUUUAAUGCUUCUAAUUGUUUUGUAACGAAAAAAAAAACGUUGUCUUUAAAAUAAUAUACACUGUAUAUCGUUGAAAAGUAUUUCCUUAGCCUCAGUAGGGGCUCGCUGUUAACUUAGUUUUUGCAGUGUUUUUUUUUUCUUCUUCUCUAAGCACGGGUGAUUGCACACACUAACAAGUCCCUAUCGUCGCCAAACUUUUUCCCUACGUUCCUCCACUUAAUGCAUGGACUAGAAACUUUACCGGCGCAAAAUUCUUUACUUCAUUAUGUUGGACAGUUUAGAAGAAAAAAAUUAACUUGUCGCCAUCCUCUGCAAUCACAGGGUUCCUGUUAGAAACACUGCAAUCAGCAAGAAGUACUCAGUGAUUGAAUCAGGCAGAAAAUGAGCAACGUGGUUUCGAUUCCUAUGGUGUCAGGGAGGUCGUUUUAUUUCUUACUGUUGUCAGUCAAAUCCAGUCCUCACUUUAUUCUCCAGCUUCAAAGUGUUUUUUCUUCUCCGUGUGUAAGAUAAAUGGAAAUAUUGUUUCAUUUAUUCAGUUCCCAAGUCAACAUAGAACUGACUGAUUAUGAAAGCCAUGACCAUCUUGAUAGGAUGUGAUUUGAGGAAGAUUUAGCUGCUGUGUCUUGCAAGUCAAACGACUACAUAGGGGAGAUUCCUUCGUUUGGUUUCUUUUUUAGCUACCGGCAUUCAUGUUGGCGUGAGAUAAAGUCGUUUGCUGUUCUUCUACUGCUAGCAUGAUCCGAAGUUGUCUUUCGCUAGUGAAAAGAAAUUAGCAACAGGAAUUGCUGGUCCAAUAAGAACCAAUGGUAGUUGGAUACCUUGUGGUUGGGAGUUCAAAUCUUUGACGUCACUUUUCUCUUAUGCUAUCUCGUUGUGUUACCAGUAAGAUUUAAUCAGUAAUAAAUCUUCAGAGGACACUGAUCUGCUUGCUUGUCCUGAUAGAAAUAACUAUAUUUAAUUCCCUCAAAUUAGUAAACGGUCUUCAAAAUUUGCUAAAAUGGAUAUUGGUUAGUGUUCUGUGUGUGGGGGGGUGAAAAUUGACAGUAAGCCAACUUUCAGGAGCCGAGAAUACUACUGAUAAUAACAGGGGCAGAUUUUCUAUACCAGAUGCCUUUCCUGUCGCCAACUUUUACCCGUUUCCAAGCAAGGUCACUGCCUGGAAUCAAACUCGGAAUCUUGGAGUUAGUCGCCCGCGCUCUGAAUCACUACGCCAUAUGCCCAUGGGCAUAUGGCAUAGUGACCUAAUAAUAAUAGCAACAACAACAUUGAAAAAUACCUUAAGAACAAGAACCCAGGUUCGAAAUUUCUCCAAGACACCUGAAGAAGGCUGGAGGGUAUGUCAGCCGAAACGCUGUGUUAACAACAAACAAGAUGAAGACAAAUAUCUGUCAAUUGUAAAUAAUGUAGAUCAGGGGUUCCCCAACCAUCGGGCCACUCCUGCGCCUAUACACAGGGGUUGGACAAAAUAAUGGGAACACUUGACAUCAUAAUUUUGAAAUAUCUAUAAAACCAUCAAAACUU